CAUCGGCAUGGUGGACGUCCCAGGAGCACUCUGUGACUUUGGCUCCAGUGUCAACAUUAUACCCAGGGUACUCUAUGACAAAUUCUUUACAUAUCCUUUAUUAGAGACAACCAUGUGUUUGCAGUUUGCAGAUCAGACGAUAACUUUUCCAAAAGGAAUAGUGAGGAACCUUUGUGUUCGAUUUGGUACCUUGUAUGCACCAGCAGACUUCGUAGUGGUAGAGACUGGAAAUAAUGAGAGAGCACCUAUCAUUCUAGGGAGGCCAUUCUUAAACACCACAGGAGCUAUCAUCUACGCUAGUGCUGCCAAGAUCAGUUUCUACAUCAAAGUGAGGAAGGAGAUAUUUUUCUUCAAGAACAAGACUACACAAAUUCCAAAUCAAUCCAGACGUGGAUCAAGGAAGAGGACCAACAGGAGGAACAGGAACAAGCAAGUGUGGACCGAGUCAGCUAAGAUGGUCACUGUAGUCCAUGGAGGCCAAGAUCACCAACUGAAGUCACCGUUUUUGACCAAGAAGGACGACCCAGGAAUGCCAAGCAUUUACUGCUCCAUAAAUAGAUACAACUUCUACAAGACGAUUUGCGACACCGGAUCAGGCGUCAACAUAAUGGCCGCAGUCACCUAUCGGCUCUUGUUCGGGACCAUGCCACUAAGACCAACAUACAUUCAGCUCCACAUGGCAGAUCAGACAUUUCGAGAAGUUCAAGGAAUAGUAACUGAUGUCCCAGUCAAAAUAGACGAUCACUUUGUUUACACAGACUUUCAAGUUAUUGGUUUUGGGGGGCCCGCUACCGGGUCCCCGUCGUNNNNNNNNNNNNNNNNNNNNNNNNNNNNNNNNNNNNNNNNNNNNNNNNNNNNNNNNNNNNNNNNNNNNNNNNNNNNNNNNNNNNNNNNNNNNNNNNNNNNAUGAAUCAAGAUCUAGACUUGGGGUUUUAUCUGAAGAAUUCCCGAGUUUUGGUGUUUGUCUAUUUCUGCAGGGGGUUAUGAGGAAAUACGGAAGAAAGGCCCACAUGUCAGGAUUACGUAAAGGUAUUAACGUGCUGCGCAAUUAUCUUACAUCUAGAAGACUCCAGAAGCCACGGGACCGAAGCGGAGGCGAAACGGGGCCAGACCCUGGGCGCCCGCCCAGUUGGUCAGGGCGCCCGUCCACCUCCUGAGUCCAAUCAGGACUCUGCUUUGCGGGAGAUCUCCACCGACCUAAAGGACGAAUCUAAACCAUACAAUCUAUGUCGGUUUGAUCCAAGGGCCCAUAUUCACUUGAAGGGACUAUAAAACCAGACCCCCUGGCCCCUGGAGGAGAGAGCCUCUCAACCCUAAUUCAUUGUUCCAUCAAGGGAGAAGAAGCCUCUGAUCAAGAUUAGAGCCACCACAUCAAUUAGACAUCUAGAUUAGCAUAGCUACAUAGGAUUAGAACUAGAAGGAGUCAAUCUUCGAUUGGUUUCCGGAUCUAUCAGGAGGAUUCUUGGUAAUCUUCUAAUUGUGCUUCUAAUUGCUUUCUAAUUAUCUUUGUUCUUCAAUAUUAUGAAUAUGACUUUGUUCUACUUCAAUAUAUUGCUUAUGACUUUGCUCUACUUGCUUAUAUUCAAGAUUAUAUUGUUCUUAGUUUAUCAUUGUUAUGUACUUGGCUUAGUUAGAUACGAUCUAUAUACAUGCUUAGGAUCGUAUAGCGUUUAUCCAUCGGAUCCAUGGGUAAAUGAUAGAUAUUGUGUAGGCGUGGUGCUUAUACCGUAUUUAUCUACGAUUGUACCCAAUAUGCCAGAUCGUGGGGUGGUUCGUGAUAGUGACAGCUUCAUUGAUUCUUAUAUAGCCCCCUCUCGUGUAUUGGCUGGCAGAGCAACAUUAUUACAGGGGAGUGAUUGCUAUGUUUCUCAUAUUCCUUGCUAAUAUCACUAUGCAUGGGCGUAGUCUUGUCUCACAAUGAUUGCUAAGUAUGCUUGCACUAACUAUGAUAAUGCUAGACUAUAUAGUUAAGAAUAACUUAGGGAAUAUUCUUGUAGUUCGUUCUAAUACCAUGCUAAUGACUUUCUAGAGUAUCUAAUUGAGGUGCUUAUCAUAUUUAUUAUGUGGCUAGAUCAGAUUAGUUUUCCUUGUCACUAUUAUUAUUUCAUAUAUCUUUUAUGUGACAUUUAUCCCUGUAUGAUGAGUUAGAUAUAAUGUUCUCAAUUAUACAUGCAAUGAUAGAUGCUCAAUCUCAUAUUCUAUUCUGUAAUCAAUAGUGAUGAUUGCUAAUCCCUUCCCAGUGGUAAAAAUAUAAAUAACGAUACCUGGAAUACUUCCCGGUUAAAAUGCUGCAUCGGUAUUAAUCUGUGCGCUUGCAGAUCCCAUUCAUUUUUUUAUUUAGAAGAGCAAUUGCAUAUUUCAAUACCGCGUCUCUCAUGUCAUGCUGGGGAUGACAACUUGGCUUAAGUGGUGUGAGGGAUAGGUUUGACAUUUUUGGCACCGUUGCUAGAUUUAGAACUUAGUCUACUUUUAGUAAUGAUGUUAAGAAUACCCAACAAGCAUUUUUUGCGCCGUUGCCGGGGAAGGUUGAUUACUAAUCAGGAAUGGAAUAAAAGAUUUCGAGUUAUCAUUCGCAUCACUAAUAUGAUUGAGCUUAUCUAUUCUCUCAUACAGUUUUACCUCGAUAUUUUUCUAUUUUAUCUUAUGCAGGGGAAUGUAUGAAUAGAAGACAUCUUCCAGGGAAUUUUGUUGACGACCCCGAUGCAUUAUUCAAGAAGACGAGAGCCAAGCUAAAGAAAUCAUCAACACUUCAGCAAGAAGCUUCAUCCAAUCAAGAAGAUCACCGUAACUUGUCUUCAGAGUUCGAAGCCAUGGCGAACAAAUCAAUCCGCGAGUUCUCAGCUCCCACUACGGACAACAUCCGCACUGGACCUGCUGCAGAGAUCGAUGGCAACUUUGAGCUCAAGCCGGGACUUAUCAACAUGGUGCAAUCCAACCAGUUCUGUGGGAAGGCACACGAAGAUGCUAGUGCUCAUUUACAACACUUCCUGGAGAUUUGCAACACAUUCACCAUAGCAGGAGUUUCCAAAUACGCUAUACUACUUCGCCUCUUCCCAUUUUCACUGUUAGGAAGAGCGAAGCAGUGGUUCUACGCUACAAAGGAGAAGAAUACUACGUGGGCACUCUGCUCAACAAACUUCCUGGCAAAGUUCUUUCCCAUGGGCAAGACCAAUGCUCUCCGUGGGAAGAUUACAAGUUUUCAGCAACAAAAUGAUGAAUCUGUUCCAGAAGCAUGGGAGCGCUUUCAAGACUACAUCCUAGAAUGUCCCCAUCAUGGAAUGGAGAGUUGGCUAUUGAUGCAGACAUUCUAUCAUGGGCUCAGCAACAGUGCCCGAGAGACUAUGGAUGCUGCAGCUGGAGGAGCAUUCUUAUCACUUACUAUACCACAAGCCACAGCUCUUGUAGAGAAGAUGGCGUCCAAUCAAAGCUGGAAUGAAGAGAGGACCCAGACACGCAAGAGAGGUGGAGGUAUGCAUCAGCUGAAGGAGGUAGACAUGCUGUCUGCAAAGCUAGACCUGCUCAUGAAGAAGCUCGAUGAUAGAGCUGGAGACAAGAAAGAAGUUAUGCACAUCUACGACUCUCACAUGACUUGUGAGGAGUGUGGAGACACUGGACACUCAGGCAACCACUGCCCUGAGAUACUUGAGGAUGUGAACUACAUCAACAACAACAACAACAACUACUACAACCGUCCUCAACAAAAUCAAGGUUGGAAUCAACAGAGGCCUAACUACUCAGGUAAUUAUCAAGGUAACAAUUCUUACAACAAUAAUAAUAUUUUUCCACCUUUGAGAGAGUUAGUGUCUAAUCAAGGAAAGCUAAUGGAUAACCUAUCUAAGAAAUUGGCACCUAAUGAUAAAAUACUAGAAAAUAUAAAUAAUAGGAUGGAUAAUUUUUCUGCUGCCAUCAAGAAUCAAAUUAGCUUUAAUAAAAUGAUUGAAUCUCAGUUAAAUCAAAUAGCUGCUGCUGUUCCUACUACUAACCCCGGUAUACCAUCACAACCGGAAGGAUUAGAAUCUGCAAAUCUUGUAGACGUGUUUGAUGCAGGUAAUUGGAGUAACCCCGUCAAUGAAUUCUCUACUGACCACCUGCCGGUCAAGAGAGGCGAUCCAGGACGCCCCGUCAUCCCGAUCUCCAUCGGCAUGGUGGACGUCCCAGGAGCACUCUGUGACUUUGGCUCCAGUGUCAACAUUAUACCCAGGGUACUCUAUGACAAAUUCUUUACAUAUCCUUUAUUAGAGACAACCAUGUGUUUGCAGUUUGCAGAUCAGACGAUAACUUUUCCAAAAGGAAUAGUGAGGAACCUUUGUGUUCGAUUUGGUACCUUGUAUGCACCAGCAGACUUCGUAGUGGUAGAGACUGGAAAUAAUGAGAGAGCACCUAUCAUUCUAGGGAGGCCAUUCUUAAACACCACAGGAGCUAUCAUCUACGCUAGUGCUGCCAAGAUCAGUUUCUACAUCAAAGUGAGGAAGGAGAUAUUUUUCUUCAAGAACAAGACUACACAAAUUCCAAAUCAAUCCAGACGUGGAUCAAGGAAGAGGACCAACAGGAGGAACAGGAACAAGCAAGUGUGGACCGAGUCAGCUAAGAUGGUCACUGUAGUCCAUGGAGGCCAAGAUCACCAACUGAAGUCACCGUUUUUGACCAAGAAGGACGACCCAGGAAUGCCAAGCAUUUACUGCUCCAUAAAUAGAUACAACUUCUACAAGACGAUUUGCGACACCGGAUCAGGCGUCAACAUAAUGGCCGCAGUCACCUAUCGGCUCUUGUUCGGGACCAUGCCACUAAGACCAACAUACAUUCAGCUCCACAUGGCAGAUCAGACAUUUCGAGAAGUUCAAGGAAUAGUAACUGAUGUCCCAGUCAAAAUAGACGAUCACUUUGUUUACACAGACUUUCAAGUUAUUGACAUGGGAGAAGACGAGUAUGAUCCACCGAUCAUCCUUGGAAGACCGUUCCUCAGCACCGUUAAAGCAAUUAUCUACAUUGGAACCGGAGAAGUCCAUAUGCACUUCCCCUCAGAGAAGGUACGCCGUUAUUUUACUAACCCUAACUAUAUUGUUGAAGAAUCUAAGCAGGUAAGGAAAAGACGCAACCGCAACCAGAAGAUGCAGAUCAUCAAGGACGGAUGGGCAAACUAUGAAGGAGAAGUUGUAAGAUCAGAAGACAUAGAGUUUAAACAGAAUUAUCCAGAGGAGAUUGAAGCACCGAGUCAGGUAUGGAAAAUGAAGAUAACUAUACAAGAAGAGGAGGCGCUGCCAGAAGUACCGACUUCGCCACCCAACGAACCUCAGGACGAUUAAGAAAAUGGAGAGUCCCGUUCGGAGGACUUAAAAACACCGAACGCCCUGCCAAGAGGUAAACUUGGUAGUUACCCUUUUCCUUUCAAUUAUUUCAAUUAUUUCAAAUAGUUUACUUAGUUAAACAUGUGAAUGCUAUCUUAAAAAGAAAAUAAAAAUAUGAAAAACAGUAAGCCCCAUGUGAGUAUACGAGUGGCAUAAAACCCAUAAGUACAUUCACUGUGGUGGCAUAAAAAUAAAAAUAAAAAUAAAAAUAAAAAUUUCUUUUCUGCUUUAUAAAACAAAACAAAAAAAAUAUAAAAACAGGGAGUAAUAUUUAUUAAGGAGUCUCAAGAUAAUAAAGGCUAAAUAUUUAUGCUAACACUUAACCAGUUCCACAAGCUUUGUUGUCUAUUUGAGCUCCACAGAAUUUAAGAAUCAAGAAGACUAGCAGACGGAGGACAUUCUAAUCGCUGUCAGAAUGCUGCUGACUUUCAACUACACCUCUGCCACCUGCUAGCUACAUCAAGAGAAAUUACGUCAAAAUCCAGCUUGGGGGAGAGCACCCCCAUUUAUUCCGAUAAGUAUUUUUAUCUAUCUUUAUACUUAUAUUAUUUUAGAAUAUUAAAAUACAUAACUAUGGGAAAACCAAAUAAAGAUUUUAUGCUUAUAUAUGUCUUUCGCUUAGUGUGUUUAAUAAAUAAAUAAAGUGGCUAUGCUAAUCUGUAUCUUAAUAAUAAAACUCAAGCAUGGAUAUGAUGAAUAGUUGCUCUGCCUAAUUUGCACAUUUUAAGUUCUCUCUCAUGUUUAGAUAUAACUGUUAUAAUUUAAAGCUUGCUCUAGACCUAAACUUGUGGGAUGUAAACUUGAUCUGAAGUCUAAGUUGUUAACGGAUACGAUAUGGGAAGGCUGAGCUGCUGUUUAUCUGUUCCUAGAGAUGCUAGAAUUCUGGAGAAUUUUAUCUUGAAAAUCUUUAAAAUGUUGCAUGAUGAGUUCCUGUAUGAUGAGAGUUUAAAUUCCUACCACAGCCAUAUAUACAUGCUUGCUAGACUUUGAGCCACACAAUUACUAUUUACUGCUUAUGAGCAUUGAGUGUGGUCAAGCUGUGUAGACCCUUAGGAGCUUGUCAUGUGGUUAAAUCAAGAUUUCACUUACACGUUCACUCAUAUAUGCUACUUCUACUCCGGAAGUACCAUCCACAUAUAUCCACCCAUUCCAUCUCCAGAACCACCUAAAAAUAUUCUACUCCUAAUCCGGGAGAGAAUAACCAAAAAUAUUUUCUGUUUUCCCCUUGUGAAAUAAAUGCUCAAGUUAUCUUGUUACUACCACUUGCUAUAUUAUCUCAAGAGAUGAGUGCUCUAAAAAAAGAGAAAAGGAAUAAUACGAGGAAAUAAAAAGGAGCAAGUGCUCGGAACCUCGAAAAGAAAAAAAGUGAGACGAGAGGUAAAAAUGGACAAGUGUCCGACAGUAGAAUUAGGGGUGCAAGAUACCCACCUGAGAGACAAGAAAAAGAAGAGCAUCUCAUUCUCAUCAUAAAGUUUCAAAAGCAAGGAAGGUAUGUAUCCCCUCAAAAGAGCAAAAGUAGAAUUAGACUUCCACCACCAUUGUUUUCACCAUUGUUAUCACCAUCAUCACCAUACACCAUUCAUUCGCCACACAUGCACAUCUUGAUUAAACUUAUUGACUUGUUACUUUGGAUCCAUGGUUUGACUAUGCAAUAAAUGUCUUGUAAGUAUGUAUACUUUAUCUCCCACCUAUGAGCUCCAGAUAUUAAAGCCUUAUUAGAGUAGGGUGAGAGAGAAGGCAAUGUCACUAUGCUUUGUACCACAAAUACCACAUAUCUUGAGAGAAGGCAUAUACCAUCAAUGCCUUGGUAAGGAUCCAAAAAUACCACAAAAGAGAGACCUGAGAGAAUCAUACAAGGAAUCUCUGAGUUUUAUUUGAAAAUCUGCAAAAAAACCCCAGAGCUAUAGCUGAUCAAGAAUAAGAGACAUGGCACUUGGCUAGACUGUUCUAUCUUUUAACCACUCAAGACAGAAGUGACAGUUACAAGUCCCAUGGUGAAGGUAAAGUAAGUAAGUUUUAAGUCUUGACAGUUUACUCUAACUUAGAGAUGAGAUCUUAUUUAAAAGCAUGUGUACCGUCAAAUUUUUAAAGAUAUUGCAACUACUUCUGAUCCAUAGCUGAGUCUAUCCUUGCUCAGGGACGAGCAAGAGGUAAGCUUGGGGGAGUUUGUUGACGGUCCUUAAGUAUCAAAUUUAAUUAUCAAAUAAAUAAUGAAAAGGAUCCAAAUGAAAUCAAGAUCUAGACUUAGGGUUUUAUCUGACAGAAUUCCACGAGUUUUGGUGUUUGUCUAUUUCUGCAGGGGGUUAUCAGGAAAUACGGAAGAAAGGCCCACAUGUCAGGAUUACGUAAAGGUAUUAACGUGCUGCGCAAUUAUCUUACAUCUAGAAGACUCCAGAAGCCACGGGACCGAAGCGGAGGCGAAACGGGGCCAGACCCUGGGCGCCCGCCUAGUUGGUCAGGGCGCCCGCCCACCUCCUGAGUCCAAUCAGGACUCUGCUUUGCGGGAGAUCUCCACCGACCUAAAGGAUGAAUCUAAACCAUACAAUCUAUGUCGGUUUGAUCCAAGGGCCCAUAUUCACUUGAAGGGACUAUAAAACCAGACCCCCUGGCCCCUGGAGGAGAGAGCCUCUCAACCCUAAUUCAUUGUUCCAUCAAGGGAGAAGAAGCCUCUGAUCAAGAUUAGAGCCACCACAUCAAUUAGACAUCUAGAUUAGCAUAGCUACAUAGGAUUAGAACUAGAAGGAGUCAAUCUUCGAUUGGUUUCCGGAUCUGUCAGGAGGAUUCUUGGUAAUCUUCUAAUUGUGCUUCUAAUUGCUUUCUAAUUAUCUUUGUUCUUCAAUAUUAUGAAUAUGACUUUGUUCUACUUCAAUAUAUUGCUUAUGACUUUGCUCUACUUGCUUAUAUUCAAGAUUAUAUUGUUCUUAGUUUAUCAUAGUUAUGUACUUGGCUUAGUUAGAUACGAUCUAUAUACAUGCUUAGGAUCGUAUAGCGUUUAUCCAUCGGAUCCAUGGGUAAAUGAUAGAUAUUGUGUAGGCGUGGUGCUUAUACCGUAUUUAUCUGCGAUUGUACCCAAUAUGCCAGAUCGUGGGGUGGUUCGUGAUAGUGACAGCUUCAUUGAUUCUUAUAUAGUCCCCCUCUCGUGUAUUGGGCUGGCAGAGCAACAUUAUUACAGGGGAGUGAUUGCUAUGUUUCUCAUAUUCCUUGCUAAUAUCACUAUGCAUGGGUGUAGUCUUGUCUCGCAAUGAUUGCUAAGUAUGCUUGCACUAACUAUGAUAUGCUAGACUAUAUAGUUGAGAAUAACUUAGGGAAUAUUCUUGUAGUUCGUUCUAAUACCAUGCUAAUGACUUUCUAGAGUAUCUAAUUGAGGUGCUUAUCAUAUUUAUUAUGUGGCUAGAUCAGAUUAGUUAUCCUUGUCACUAUUAUUAUUUCAUAUAUCUUUUAUGUGACAUUUAUCCCUAUAUGAUGAGUUAGAUAUAAUGUUCUCAAUUAUACAUGCAAUGAUAGAUGCUCAAUCUCAUAUUCUAUUCUGUAAUCAUUAGUGAUGAUUUCUAAUCCCUUCCCAUUGGUAAAAAUAUAAAUAACGAUACCUGGAAUACUUCCCGGUUAAAAUGCUACAUCGGUAUUAAUCUGUGCGCUUGCAGAUCUCAUUCAUUUUUUUAUUUAGAAGAGCAAUUGCAUAUUUCAAUACCGCGUCUCUCAUGUCAUGCUGGGGAUGACAACUUGGCUUAAGUGGUGUGAGGGAUAGGUUUGGCAUUUUUGGCACCGUUGCUAGAUUUAGAACUUAGUCUACUUUUAGUAAUGAUGUUAAGAAUACCCAACAACAACCACCAAGAACUGGAGAAAUGAGGAAAGAUUUUUAUGACACCAACUAUUUGCCAUUUCCCAGAAGAAACAGAGGACUCCAGUUGGAUGAGCAGUUUGGUAAGUUGUAGAGGUCAUUCAGAAAUUAUAUGUCAACAUACCUCUGCUCGAUGCCAUACAGGUACCUACAUACGCAAAGUACAUCAGAGAUAUUCUGAACAAGAAGAGGCCACUGCCCACCACUGAGGUUAUCAAGCUGACAGAAGAAUGUAGUACGGCCAUCCUCAACAAACCACCAAAGAAGAAGGAGGAUCCAGGAUGCCCCACUAUUGACUGCUCGAUCGGAAACCAACACUUCAAUAAUGCACUUUGUGAUCUCGGAGCAAGUGUCAGUGUGAUGCCAGCAUCAGUCUACAAAAAGCUUGAGCAUGCAACCUUAGAACCAACAUCAAUGUGCCUACAACUAGCGGAUCAAUCGGUUCGACACCCGCUGGGCAUCGCCGAGAACAUUCCACUCAAGAUCAGAGAUUUCCUGGUGCUAGUAGACUUCGUAGUACUGGACAUGAGUCCUGACUCAAAAGUGUCCAUUAUCCUAGGAAGGCCAUUUCUGAGCACUGCUAAUGCCCACAUUGAUGUCGGGAAAGGAGAAAUUAAGUUCAACAUAAACGGUCAAGAAGAACGCUUCACAUUCAAACCCAGACCAGAGAGAGACUCUACAGUGAAGGAAGUUCAUGAAGAACCACUGGAGACACCAUCUCCGGAGGAAGGUAACUCAGAAGAUUAAAAGAUUUGGAGGUCCAGCUUGGGGGACCUAAAAAUCCCAAACCCUCACCGGGAGGUAAAAUGGUAUUUAUCCGCAUUAUUAAUUUUCUCAUGUUUAAAUUAUUGCAUAAUUAAUUCUUGCAUUAGUCAUAUAUAUUCAUAGCAUUAUUAUAAUAAUCAAAAAGCCCCAUAUAAAUAUUAUUCGUGGUGUGUAACAACCCAUAUUUAUUAAUUAUUGUGGAGGCACAAAAAUAUUUUCCAAUAUCAUUUUCAUUAAGUUUCAAUUCUCAUAGAUUUUCCUGCAUUAUAUUUAAUUAUAUUAAUCUUCUAGAAGCGUGACCCACACACCUUGGGUCCCACAUGUCAUACACUUCACCUCACAUACAUCCCAUCACAUAAUUUCAUCCACCAAUAUGUUUCCACUCACCUGACAUCUUUCCACCGUCCAACCACUACCAACACAACAUUAUUCUGCGUGAGAUCAAAGCAAGGAAGCAAGUGGAGGAAGCACACCCAGGAUGGACACCAGGGGUGGGCGCCCGCCUACCUACCUUGGGCGCCCGCCCUGUCCCUCUUCCUCCUAUAAAAGGCCACCUCCGGCUCCCCUUCUCUUCACACAAACACUUCAGAAAACCACACAAAUCUCAGUUUCCCGAGAAGGAGCUUUUGUAGUGAAGAGAAGAGCGUAGAGAGAAAGAGGAGAGUGGAAGAGAAAGUUGGAGUUCUUUUGAGAGAGUAAUUGUCACCUAGCAAGUAGUGAUCUUGUUGUCUAAGCAGAAGUAAAAAUUGUUUAGGGGAGGCUCUACCAAAAUAGAAACUUGUCUUGAACGAUUAACCCCUGGACUACUGACACUCCGGACAGCUGACCACUAACAUUUUAUCUCACAUUUUCCACUAGUUGUGUUUUUGCCAACUUUUGUUUGCAGGAUGUUUAAGAAGGUAAAGAAUGCAGGGAAGGCUAUCAAGAACCUUGGUACGAGGAGUUCAUCCCGACACUCCUCACAACCAUCAGAGAUGAGCGUCGACCCGACACCCACACAAGCUCCAUCAUCCUCAUCAGGUCAGCAAGUUAAGGUCCUUCUCAAGAUAGGAGACCUUGGACUGAAGACCCGAAGAGAGAAGGAAGUUUAUCAGCAAUUGAAGAAUAAAGAUUUCAUUCACACCCCAACUCUCGAUCCAAUCCUACUACAAGAAACAGGUAUGGACACUGAAUUUGACUUAAUUUUUCAGAUGAUGGGUUGGACAAAUUUUUGGAAUAUAACUGAGCUGGGUUCUCGUCUUCUCACCCUCGAAUUUCUUUGCACCUUACAAUACUAUGAGGGGGGAAUUGUUUUUCGGAUGUUUAAACAGGAAAUUAUCUUAUCUUGGAGAGAGCUGAGCGACCAUUUUGGUUUCUCUUCAAGAUGCAUCCUGAACAUUGACUCCGAUUUACCCAAUUUUGAGAAACACCAGUUUUGGAGAGAAAUAUCUAGAGAUAAUUUUUACAGUCAAGCCCGAACCAGUGACAUGGAACACCCCACUCUUAGGAUGUUUCACAAAUGGCUUGGGUACAAUCUUUUCUAUCGUGACGAUAUUAGGAAAGUAAGAGUAGGAGAUUUACAACUUUUAUAUGCUGCUAUUAGUAAAGUACCCACUUCACCUGUUACACUAUUAGUUUCACAUUGGCUUAGUAUACCUAGUCUUCAGGGACCAGUAGGAUGUACUUCACUUAUCACUCGUCUAGCCACUAAUCUUCACUUACUAGAAAACUCAUCGUGGACUUCAUAGAAGAAUAANNNNNNNNNNNNNNNNNNNNNNNNNNNNNNNNNNNNNNNNNNNNNNNNNNNNNNNNNNNNNNNNNNNNNNNNNNNNNNNNNNNNNNNNNNNNNNNNNNNNCACAACGUUGCGACCGCGGGACGCAGCCACACCCCUCAUUCUCAUCAUAAAGUUUCAAAAGCAAGGAAGGUAUGUAUCCCCUCAAAAGAGCAAAAGUAGAAUUAGACUUCCACCACCAUUGUUUUCACCAUUGUUAUCACCAUCAUCACCAUACACCAUUCAUUCGCCACACAUGCACAUCUUGAUUAAACUUAUUGACUUGUUACUUUGGAUCCAUGGUUUGACUAUGCAAUAAAUGUCUUGUAAGUAUGUAUACUUUAUCUCCCACCUAUGAGCUCCAGAUAUUAAAGCCUUAUUAGAGUAGGGUGAGAGAGAAGGCAAUGUCACUAUGCUUUGUACCACAAAUACCACAUAUCUUGAGAGAAGGCAUAUACCAUCAAUGCCUUGGUAAGGAUCCAAAAAUACCACAAAAGAGAGACCUGAGAGAAUCAUACAAGGAAUCUCUGAGUUUUAUUUGAAAAUCUGCAAAAAAACCCCAGAGCUAUAGCUGAUCAAGAAUAAGAGACAUGGCACUUGGCUAGACUGUUCUAUCUUUUAACCACUCAAGACAGAAGUGACAGUUACAAGUCCCAUGGUGAAGGUAAAGUAAGUAAGUUUUAAGUCUUGACAGUUUACUCUAACUUAGAGAUGAGAUCUUAUUUAA
rnacentral:lncRNA from 1 species